GAUGAACGUUGGCGGCGCGCCUAACACAUGCAAGUCGAACGGCACCUAUCUUCGGAUAGAAGCGAGUGGCGAACGGCUGAGUAACACGUGGAGAACCUGCCCCCUCCCCCGGGGUAGCCGCCCGAAAGGACGGGUAAUACCGGAUACCCCGGGGUGCCGCAUGGCACCCCGGCUAAAGCCCCGACGGGAGGGGAUGGCUCCGCGGCCCAUCAGGUAGACGGCGGGGUGACGGCCCACCGUGCCGACAACGGGUAGCCGGGUUGAGAGACCGACCGGCCAGAUUGGGGCUGAGACACGGCCUAGACUCCUACGGGAGGCAGCAGUGGGGAAUCUUGCGCAAUGGGGGGAACCCUGACGCAGCGACGCCGCGUGCGGGACGGAGGCCUUCGGGUCGUAAACCGCUUUCAGCAGGGAGGAGUCAAGACUGUACCUGCAGAAGAAGCCCCGGCUAACUACGUGCCAGCAGCCGCGGUAAUACGUAGGGGGCGAGCGUUAUCCGGAUUCAUUGGGCGUAAAGCGCGCGUAGGCGGCCCGGCAGGCCCGGGGGUCGAAGCGGGGGGCUCAACCCCCCGAAGCCCCCGGAACCUCCGCGGCUUGGGUCCGGUAGGGGAGGGUGGAACACCCGGUGUAGCGGUGGAAUGCGCAGAUAUCGGGUGGAACACCGGUGGCGAAGGCGGCCCUCUGGGCCGAGACCGACGUUGAGGCGCGAAAGCUGGGGGAGCGAACAGGAUUAGAUACCCUGGUAGUCCCAGCCGUAAACGAUGGACGCUAGGUGUGGGGGGACGAUCCCCCCGUGCCGCAGCCAACGCAUUAAGCGUCCCGCCUGGGGAGUACGGCCGCAAGGCUAAAACUCAAAGGAAUUGACGGGGGCCCGCACAAGCAGCGGAGCAUGUGGCUUAAUUCGAAGCAACGCGAAGAACCUUACCAGGGCUUGACAUAUGGGUGAAGCGGGGGAGACCCCGUGGCCGAGAGGAGCCCAUACAGGUGGUGCAUGGCUGUCGUCAGCUCGUGUCGUGAGAUGUUGGGUUAAGUCCCGCAACGAGCGCAACCCCCGCCGCGUGUUGCCAUCGGGUGAUGCCGGGAACCCACGCGGGACCGCCGCCGUCAAGGCGGAGGAGGGCGGGGACGACGUCAAGUCAUCAUGCCCCUUAUGCCCUGGGCUGCACACGUGCUACAAUGGCCGGUACAGAGGGAUGCCACCCCGCGAGGGGGAGCGGAUCCCGGAAAGCCGGCCCCAGUUCGGAUUGGGGGCUGCAACCCGCCCCCAUGAAGUCGGAGUUGCUAGUAAUCGCGGAUCAGCAUGCCGCGGUGAAUGCGUUCCCGGGCCU
rnacentral:rRNA from 1 species